rnacentral:rRNA from 1 species
GUGUCAGCAGCCGCGGUAAUACAGAGGGUGCAAGCGUUAAUCGGAAUUACUGGGCGUAAAGCGCGCGUAGGCGGCUUGAUAAGAUGGGUGUGAAAUCCCCGGGCUUAACCUGGGAACUGCAUCCAUAACUGUCUGGCUAGAGUGCAGUAGAGGGUGGUGGAAUUUCCUGUGUAGCGGUGAAAUGCGUAGAUAUAGGAAGGAACACCAGUGGCGAAGGCGACCACCUGGACUGACACUGACGCUGAGGUGCGAAAGCGUGGGGAGCAAACAGGAUUAGAAACCCUGGUAGUCC